AUGCGGGUGCUUAGACCAGAUGAUAAAGGGUGGUACAUAUGCGAACACAAAGCAGAGCACAACCAUGCUGUAUCAGUUAACUGUAUGGAGAAGCUGCACUGGAAAUCGCACAUGCACAUAGAUAGAUACACUAGAGACUUGGUGAAACAGCUAAGAGAAAACAAUAUAAGCCUGAGCAAGGUUUAUAGUGUGGUUGGCAGUUUUUUUGGAUCUAUGAAGGAGGUGCCAUUCACAAAGAGAUCUCUCAAAACUCUUUGUGGAUAA
rnacentral:rRNA from 1 species